rnacentral:rRNA from 2 species
UACGGAGGGUGCAAGCGUUGUUCGGAUUUACUGGGCGUAAAGGGCGUGUAGGCGGAUACGCAAGCCGGAGGUGAAAUCCCUGGGCUCAACCCGGGACGUGCUUUCGGAACUACGUGUCUGGAGACAGGCAGAGGCAGGUGGAAUUCCAGGUGUAGAGGUGAAAUUCGUAGAGAUCUGGAGGAACACCGGCGGCGAAGGCGGCCUGCUGGGCCUGAUCUGACGCUGAGGCGCGAAAGCGUGGGGAGCAAACAGG